rnacentral:rRNA from 1 species
UACAGAGGUCUCAAGCGUUAUUCGGAUUCAUUGGGCGUAAAGGGUGCGUAGGCGGCGCGGUAAGUCGGGUGUGAAAUUUCGAGGCUUAACUUCGAAACUGCAUUCGAUACUGCCGUGCUUGAGGACUGGAGAGGAGACUGGAAUUUACGGUGUAGCGGUGAAAUGCGUAGAUAUCGUAAGGAAGACCAGUGGCGAAGGCGGGUCUCUGGACAGUUCCUGACGCUGAGGCACGAAGGUCAGGGGAGCAAAACGGGG